rnacentral:pre_miRNA from 1 species
UCUUAUAGAUGAGCAAAGAAACAUGGUUUCUUGAGAUGGAAUCUGUUCCUGCUGAAGAUGCUGUGAA